GACGAACGCUGGCGGCGUGCCUAAUACAUGCAAGUCGAGCGAACUUUUAAAAGCUUGCUUUUAAAAGUUAGCGGCGGACGGGUGAGUAACACGUGGGCAACCUGCCUGUAAGACUGGGAUAACUUCGGGAAACCGGAGCUAAUACCGGAUAAUGCUUCUCCUCUCAUGAGGGGAAACUGAAAGAUGGUUUACGCUAUCACUUACAGAUGGGCCCGCGGCGCAUUAGCUAGUUGGUGAGGUAACGGCUCACCAAGGCGACGAUGCGUAGCCGACCUGAGAGGGUGAUCGGCCACACUGGGACUGAGACACGGCCCAGACUCCUACGGGAGGCAGCAGUAGGGAAUCUUCCGCAAUGGACGAAAGUCUGACGGAGCAACGCCGCGUGAGUGAUGAAGGUUUUCGGAUCGUAAAACUCUGUUGUUAGGGAAGAACAAGUACCGGAGUAACUGCCGGUACCUUGACGGUACCUAACCAGAAAGCCACGGCUAACUACGUGCCAGCAGCCGCCGUAAAAC
rnacentral:rRNA from 1 species